rnacentral:rRNA from 1 species
UACGUAGGGGGCUAGCGUUGUCCGGAAUCAUUGGGCGUAAAGAGCGUGUAGGCGGCUUGGUAAGUCCGCUGUGAAAGUCCAGGGCUCAACCCUGGAAAGCCAGUGGAAACUGUCAAGCUAGAGUCCGGAAGAGGCGAGUGGAACUCCUGGUGUAGCGGUGAAAUGCGCAGAUAUCAGGAGGAACACCAAUUGCGAAGGCAGCUCGCUGGGACGUUACUGACGCUGAGACGCGAAAGCGUGGGGAGCAAACAGG